CGCUUACACAGUAACCAGCCUAGGAUUGA
rnacentral:piRNA from 1 species